rnacentral:rRNA from 1 species
CUUGGUGGAUUUUUUUAAGUUAUGCUUUUUAAUCGAAAAAUUCAGAUCUCGGGGUUUUCUGUUUUGAACUUACUAUUAAUUGGGUAAAUUUUGGUAGAUAAUUCUCGUGUUGUGAUAAAUUAGUCGUUGAAUUUUAUAUCUAUUUGACUGUUUUUAAUUUUUUAUUACGUGUGAGACUAUGAGGUUUUGUGCGAGUUUAUAUCUUUAUUUUUUUAUUUAUUAAGUAAAGGUUAGGAUUACCUAAACUUUGUGUAAUUGUUAUAAAUCUUAUCAUUUUGUAGUUUAGAUUAAUUUUGUAGACAGUCUUUUAUUAACUUUUUGUUUAAAUAUAUCAUUAAAUAAGUAAUAAUAUUACAUUGAUUAUUUCUCGAGCUUUGCCCGUCUGUUUAUUAAAAACAUUUCCAAUUUAUAAUUUUAUUGGUAGUGCCUGCCCAAUGUUUUUAUUAAUGGCCGCAGUAUACUGACUGUGCGAAGGUAGCAUAAUUAAUUGCCUUAUAAUUGAGGGCUUGUUUGAAUGGUUUGACGAGGUAAUAGUGAAUAUUUGAUGUUUUUUUGAAAUUAGUUUUGAGGGUACAGAACCCUCAUUUGUUAAUUAGACGGAAAGACCCCGGGAUCUUGUUAUUUUGCUUGGGGCAAGUGUUAUUGUUGUAUUAUUAUUAUGACCCUAUUUUGUAGUUUAAUGAGUUAAGUUACCCCGGGGAUAACAGUGUAAUAAUUAAUGAGAGAUCAUAUCGAAUUAAUUGUUUGCCACCUCGAUGUUGACUUAGAUAUAGACUAAGGCGUAGUAGUUUUAGUUUUAGGUCUGUUCGACCUUAA